UACGAAGGGGGCUAGCGUUGUUCGGAAUUACUGGGCGUAAAGCGCGUGUAGGCGGGUCCUUAAGUCAGGGGUGAAAUGCCAAGGCUCGAACCUUGGAACUGCCUUUGAUACUGGGGAUCGUUGAGUCCGGGAGAGGUGAGUGGAACUGGCGAGUGUAGAGGUGAAAUGCGUAGAUAUCGUAAGGAAGACCAGUGGCGAAGGCGGGUCUCUGGACAGUU
rnacentral:rRNA from 1 species